GGAUGGGUGGCAGAGUGGACGAUUGCGACGGUCUUGAAAACCGUUUUACGAGAAAUCGUAACGUGGGUUCGAAUCCCACCCCAUCCG
rnacentral:tRNA from 1 species